AGGGUUCGAUUCUGGCUCAGGAUGAACGCUGGCGGCGUGCCUAACACAUGCAAGUCGAACGAAGCAUACGGACUGGAGAUUCGUCGAAGGACCGUAUGACUUAGUGGCGGACGGGUGAGUAAUGUAUGAGCAACCUGCCUUUCAGAGGGGGACAACAGUUGGAAACGACUGCUAAUACCGCGUAAUGUAUCGUGAGGGCAUCCUCGUGAUACCAAAGGAGCAAUCUGCUGAAAGAUGGGCUCAUAUCUGAUUAGCUUGUUGGCGGGGUAACGGCCCACCAAGGCGACGAUCAGUAGCCGGACUGAGAGGUUGAACGGCCACAUUGGGACUGAGAUACGGCCCAGACUCCUACGGGAGGCAGCAGUGGGGAAUAUUGGGCAAUGGGCGAAAGCCCUGACCCAGCAACGCCGCGUGAAGGAAGAAGGUCUUCGGAUUGUAAACUUCUUUAUGAGGGACGAAGGACGUGACGGUACCUCAUGAAUAAGCCACGGCUAACUACGUGCCAGCCGCCGC
rnacentral:rRNA from 1 species